rnacentral:lncRNA from 1 species
CGCCUGCCGACCUCGGGGCCCCGCCCUCUGCCUUCGCUCGCGCCGCUCUCCUUCAGUCUCCCCAGGGCCUGUUUCAUGGAUAGGGUCCCCUUGCCCGCGUGAAAGUCUCAUUCCUCCUCAGCUCAGAAACACUCCAAGGUCUCGGCGCCCUAUACUGGCCUUCCCUCAUCCGAAUACCCCUCGUGCUCCUGAUGUACUUUUCCAUUCCCACUCCCUACUCUGGCAGUCUAGCUUCUAAGCUGAGGAGUUUGGCCUUCGCUCCAGGUGCGGGGACUCGUGGAAGGAUUUGAUUCGCGCUUGAGAAAGAUCGCUCCGCUCCUGUAAGGAAGAGAGCGUGUAGGGGCUGCAACCAGAGACACAGUCAGAAGCUCCGAGGCUACCGCGAUGGUCCAGGACACAGCCUAACAGAGGCCCAGGUUGGAGCCAUGGACCAUGGAGUCAUGAGAAUGGAAGGGAAGCUGACGCCAUGUGGGAUGGGGUAGAACUGUCCGCAAAUUCGUCCCGCCUCUGGAGUCUUCAGACCAGUCAAGGCCGAAAUUCAACCAAGCCUCUCCUCUCUCUAGCUGUUAUUUGUUUGCAGCACGCGGUCUGGUGGCACCCUGCAGGAUUUACCAGCUUUUUGCCAACAUUCUGGCCUAUGCAAUCAAUACGUCCCUUCAGCGUUGCACUUGGAUGGAUUGGACCUAUAGUUGUUAUAUAUGGAUAUUGUCUAAUUUAUUUAUUACAGUAUUAACUGACUCCUAUGUUCUGGCCUUCAGAAUUUCUCCUUUGGAUCAAUUACUAGCCUGUCUUACAUUUUCUGCUUCAUUCUUUUAAAAUGUUUAGAGAUGAUUUGCUAAGUUUUCUUCAUUGCUGUCAAUGAUGCAAUUUAAACUGUCAAAAAAAUUUUUUCUCAAGCAGGGUAGUAAUGGUGAACCAUUCCCUUGCUAUUCAGACAGCAUGGUUUAGAUGAGGCGCACCUAUCCCCAGCUUUAGGAAUGGAAACAGGACCCAAGUCUGGCUAAUCAGAGACUGGUUUAGGGUCGGCCCCAUGGUCUGAGCCAGACCAAUGAGAAUUGGUAGAGGGACUUCCUUUUGCAACUUCUAUUUUAGAAUCGGGGGUAUAUAUGCAGGCUUGUUACAGAGGUAUAUUGCAUGGUGCUGAGGUUUGGAGUAUGAACGAAUCCGUCCUUCAGGUAAUGAGCAUAGUACCCAAUAGGUAGUUUCAACCCUUGCCCCCUUCCUCCUUCCCCAGUCUUGUAUUCCCCAGUGUCUGUUGUUCCCAGACAUUGAUCUUUUUCCUCUAUGUUGCUAAGCUGGUAGAAAGGCUGGAGUUGCUGGCAACCAUCUUUGCAACCAUGCAGGGAGAACUACUUUGGAAAUGAAGCAAGAUAAAGAAGAAAACAGAUAAAAGGAGACAAAUGUUUGACUUUGUACAGCUGGAAACCAGCAAUGCUGGAAAUGAGCACUGAAGGCAGUUUAAUGGGUUUGUCACUUGUAACCAAGUGACCCAUGGCAAGCUCACAGAUUUGUAUUGGCAGAAUUCCUCCUUUUCUUUAUUUAAAAUGGUACUUUUGGCCAGGCAAGGUGGUUCACACCUGUAAUCCAAAGACUUUGGGAGGCCGAGGCGCACUGAUCACCCAAGGUCAGAAGUUCGAGAACAGCCUGGCCAACAUUGGCGAAACCCCAUCUCUACUAAAAAUACAAACCAUUAGCUGGCUGCGGUGGCCUUUCUACCAGCUUUUUGUCUCAAAAAAAAAAAAAAAAAAGGUACUUUUGCUUAUCUCUAACCUUCCUCUUCCCCAUAAUUUAACAGUUGCCCAUACUAUCUGUUACUCUGAGCUACUCUCUGCCCCAUUCUCCUCCUCUUAUCUUCAGUUCCUCCUAGGCUGUCAGAGCCAUCUGAAAUGAAAACAUUUAGGCCGGGCAUAGUGGUUCAUGCCUGUAAUCCCAGCACUUUGGGAGGCUGAGGCAGGCGGAUCAGCUGAGGUCAGGAGUUCAAGACCACCCUGGUCAACAUGGUGAAACCCCAUCUCUACUAAAAAUACAAAAAUUAUCCAGACAUGGUGGCACAUGCCUCUACUCCCAGCUACUUGGGAGGCUGAGGCAGGAGAAUCGCUUGAACCUAGGAGGCAGGGGUUGCAGUGAGCCGAGAUUGAGCCACUGCACUCUAGCCUGGGCGACAGAGUGAGACUUUGUCUAAAAAACAUAAAUAAAAUAAAAUGAAAUGAAAACAUUUGCUACUUGAAAUCCUUCAGAUUCCCCAUCGCCUACCUACAGGCAAAACUCUCAAGUUCUUUUGUAUGAUUUAACCACUAUCUACCUGUCCAACUGAAAUCUACCCUUCAGUAAUAUUAUACUUGCACCUCCCUUCAUAAGCUAUGCUACAAGUUUGGUUAUGCAGUUGCCCACCUUUUAAGGUUCAAGCCUUGUCUUCUCCAAAGAGCCACCUCUGACUGCCUCACAGUAAGCUUAGGGCCCGCAACUUACCUGUAACUUUUGUUGCACUUAUGGCCUUUUACAACUAUCAAUUUAUGUAUGUGUCUGUUCUCACUGGUUUAUAAGCUCCCUGAGGACAGAGCCUUGCUUGAG